UCCUGGCUCAGAACGAACGGCUGGCGGCGUGCUUAACACAUGCAAGUCGAACGCGAAAGGGACUUCGGUCCUGAGUAAAGUGGCGCACGGGUGAGUAACGCGUAGAUAACCUGUCUUUAUGUCUGGAAUAAUACGCCGAAAGGGGGUACUAAUACCGGAUAUUUUUGCAUUGCAUAAGCAGUGUAAGCAAAGGUGGCCUCUGACAUAAGCUACUGCAUAAAGAGGGGUCUGCGUACCAUUAGCUAGUAGGUGGGGUAAAGGCCUACCUAGGCUACGGAUGGUUAGCGGGUCUGAGAGGAUGAUCCGCCACACUGGCACUGGAACACGGGCCAGACUCCUACGGGAGGCAGCAGUGAGGAAUAUUGCGCAAUGGGGGCAACCCUGACGCAGCGACGCCGCGUGAGUGAGGAAGGCCUUCGGGUCGUAAAGCUCUGUCAAAGGGAAAGAAGUGCAUGGUGGUUAAUACCUGCCAUGUUUGACGGUACCCUUAAAGGAAGCACCGGCUAACUCCGUGCCAGCCGCAGC
rnacentral:rRNA from 1 species